CGGAGGCAGCAGUAGGGAAUCUUGCGCAAUGGGCGAAAGCCUGACGCAGCGACGCCGUGUGUGCGAUGAAGGUCUUCGGAUCGUAAAGCACUGUCGCGAGGGAAGAAACCGAAAGGGUGACGGUACCUCGAAAGGAAGCACCGGCUAACUCUGUGCCAGCAGCCGCGGUAAUACAGAGGGUGCGAGCGUUGUUCGGAAUUAUUGGGCGUAAAGCGCGAGUAGGCGGUCUGUUAAGUCGCGUGUGAAAGCUCCCAGCUCAACUGGGAAAGUGCGCGCGAAACUGGUGGACUUGAGUGCUGGAGAGGGUGGCGGAAUUCCCGGUGUAGAGGUGAAAUUCGUAGAUAUCGGGAGGAACACCAGAGGCGAAGGCGGCCACCUGGAAAGACACUGACGCUGAGAAGCGAAAGCGUGGGGAGCAAACAGGAUUAGAUACCCUGGUAGA
rnacentral:rRNA from 1 species